rnacentral:rRNA from 1 species
AUUGAACGCUGGCGGCAUGCUUUACACAUGCAAGUCGAACGGUAACAGGCCGCAAGGUGCUGACGAGUGGCGAACGGGUGAGUAAUGCAUCGGAACGUGCCCAGUCGUGGGGGAUAACGCAGCGAAAGCUGUGCUAAUACCGCAUACGAUCUAUGGAUGAAAGCGGGGGACCGUAAGGCCUCGCGCGAUUGGAGCGGCCGAUGUCAGAUUAGGUAGUUGGUGGGGUAAAGGCUCACCAAGCCAACGAUCUGUAGCUGGUCUGAGAGGACGACCAGCCACACUGGGACUGAGACACGGCCCAGACUCCUACGGGAGGCAGCAGUGGGGAAUUUUGGACAAUGGGCGCAAGCCUGAUCCAGCAAUGCCGCGUGCAGGAAGAAGGCCUUCGGGUUGUAAACUGCUUUUGUACGGAACGAAACGGCGAGCUCUAAUACAGUUUGCUAAUGACGGUACCGUAAGAAUAAGCACCGGCUAACUACGUGCCAGCCGCCGCGGUAA